UACGUAGGGUGCGAGCGUUAAUCGGAAUUACUGGGCGUAAAGCGUGCGCAGGCGGUGAUGUAAGACAGGUGUGAAAUCCCCGGGCUUACCUGGGAACUGCAUUUGUGACUGCAUCGCUGGAGUACGGCAGAGGGGGAUGGAAUUCCGCGUGUAGCAGUGAAAUGCGUAGAUAUGCGGAGGAACACCGAUGGCGAAGGCAAUCCCCUGGGCCUGUACUGACGCUCAUGCACGAAAGCGUGGGGAGCAAACAG
rnacentral:rRNA from 1 species